rnacentral:tRNA from 1 species
UGGGGCGUCGGCAAGCGGUUAAGCCACUAGACUUUGACUCUAGCAUCGUAGGUUCGAUUCCUACCGCCCCAGCCA